rnacentral:rRNA from 1 species
AUUGAACGCUGGCGGCAGGCUUAACACAUGCAAGUCGAGCGGAGCGAGGGUGCUUGCACCUUAGCUUAGCGGCGGACGGGUGAGUGAUGCUUAGGAAUCUGCCUAUUAGUGGGGGACAACAUUCCGAAAGGAAUGCUAAUACCGCAUACGCCCUACGGGGGAAAGCAGGGGAUCUUCGGACCUUGCGCUAAUAGAUGAGCCUAAGUCGGAUUAGCUAGUUGGUGGGGUAAAGGCCUACCAAGGCGACGAUCUGUAGCGGGUCUGAGAGGAUGAUCCGCCACACUGGGACUGAGACACGGCCCAGACUCCCACGGGAGGCAGCAGUGGGGAAUAUUGGACAAUGGGCGGAAGCCUGAUCCAGCCAUGCCGCGUGUGUGAAGAAGGCCUCUUGGUUGUAAAGCACUUUAAGCGAGGAGGAGGCUACUAGUAUUAAUACUACUGGAUAGUGGACGUUACUCGCAGAAUAAGCACCGGCUAACUCUGUGCCAGCCGCCGCCGUAAGAC